UACAGAGGUCUCAAGCGUUGUUCGGAUUCAUUGGGCGUAAAGGGCGCGUAGGCGUUCGUGACAAGUCACUUUUGAAAUCUCCGGGCUUAACUCGGAACGGUCAAGUGAUACUGUCGGACUAGAGUACAGAAGGGGCAACUGGAAUUCUCGGUGUAGCGGUGAAAUGCGUAGAUAUCGAGAGGAACACCUGCGGCGAAGGCGGGUUGCUGGGCUGAUACUGACGCUGAGGCGCGAAAGCCAGGGGAGCGAACGGG
rnacentral:rRNA from 1 species